rnacentral:rRNA from 1 species
GAUCAUGGCUCAGGAUGAACGCUAGCUACAGGCUUAACACAUGCAAGUCGAGGGGAAACGGAUAUUGGAAGCUUGCUUCCGAUAGGCGUCGACCGGCGCACGGGUGAGUAACGCGUAUCCAACCUGCCCACCACGUUGGGGAUAACCUUGCGAAAGUAAGACUAAUGCCCAAUGAUAUCCCACGAAGGCAUCCGAAUGGGAUUAAAGAUUUAAUCGGUGAUGGAUGGGGAUGCGUCUGAUUAG